GCUAACAUUGAACUUUCCUCAAACAUUUCAACAUUAUAUCAUUCCGAUUGCAUAAUAAACUAUUUUUUCAAAGAUUUGCUUAAAAUCUUACGUUUGCUAGUGUUUAUGUUCAAACAACACACGUGACACACGUGACUAAACCUGAUUGGUUGUUGUCAUAGUAACACGUCACGGUGCUAUUUGAAAGCUGUAGUUGUUCAGUGAGUUCAGUUCACGAGGUGCAUGUGGUUGCUUGCGUUAAACGUAUAAACUGUUAAAUUAGAUGGCGACUCUGCAUUAAACGUAUUUAUUUAAUUAAUCUGCGAUCGUACUUCACCAGAGGACUAAGAUAAAACAACUCGAUUUAAAAUAUGAGCAGUUUUAGUGGAUCUGACGUCGAGGGAAAAAGUAUUUCGCUUUUUGUUUGGAGAUGAACGAGACAACACGAGGCACAGCGACAUAAAUAUGACCAACCAGAUCCCAAGUAGACAGGAACAAAUGAAGAUACAGCGCAUAGAAAGACUUAUUCUUGGUGAUCAACUGCUAUUGACAUUUUUGAAUUGGGACAAUUGUGGAGUGAUUCGGAAGAAAAACGUUUGCAACACAUCCAUUCCAGGUGGCUAAUUUCUGUCCUUUUGAAUUAUUCUUGUAAAAACCGUUUGUUUUUAUUGUAAAGCUGUAAGGGACUUGGCCUAGUCAUCCUUGCAUAUACCAUUUGGCAGGGCACCAGACUAACUUUUUUUACUAGAAGCACAGUGGCCCCCAACUGAAAAUUUUAGGGGCGCAACCAGAAAAUUAAGGGGCACACACGAGUGCUCUGACAGAAAAAACUGACACGCUUGAUGAGGACACAGUCAAAGCUUUAAAAGACCGUGUGAUAAAGCAGUCUUCAAUUACUACGGUGUCUGAAUUGCAAGAAGUGACCCUCCACUUAAACAUGUGACAUCUAAACUGUUUUGUGUUUUAGUUCAGCUUUUUAUAGGUUUAUCUUAAGUUGGUUAAAGGCGGAGUGCACUAUUUUUGAAAGCCAAUGUUAACAUUUGAAAUUACCUAAACAAACAUGCCUCUACCCCAAUAGAAUCGGGACCUUCUUUUGAUAGAGCCACCACACACAUACGCAACCCCGGCAAGGAUGUCAGUUAGUAGACACGCCCCUUACUGCUGGUUGGCUACAAGUGUGUUUUGGUAGUCGGCCCAAUUUCCUUUUCCAAAGCGUUUUUCAAACAUUGUGCACUCAGUCUUUAAAUUGCACUUAAAACUUUUUUUUUUCAGUAACUUUUUAUGCAGAGAA